GAUGGACGCUAGCGGCAGGCUUAAUACAUGCAAGUCGAGGGGUAGCAAGAUUGUAGCAAUACAAUUGUUGACGACCGGCAAACGGGUGCGGAACACGUACACAACCUUCCUACAAGUGGGGAAUAGCCCAGAGAAAUUUGGAUUAAUACCCCGUAACAUAGCGAUGUGGCAUCACAUUGCUAUUAUAGCUUCGGCGCUUGUUGAUGGGUGUGCGGCUGAUUAGAUAGUUGGCGGGGUAACGGCCCACCAAGUCUACGAUCAGUAGCUGAUGUGAGAGCAUGAUCAGCAACACGGGCACUGAGACACGGGCCCGACUCCUACGGGAGGCAGCAGUAAGGAAUAUUGGACAAUGGACGCAAGUCUGAUCCAGCCAUGCCGCGUGAAGGAUUAAGGUCCUCUGGAUUGUAAACUUCUUUUAUAAGGGACGAAAAAAGGUCUUUCUAGAUCGUCUGACGGUACCUUAUGAAUAAGCACCGGCUAACUCCGUGCCAGCCGCCGCAGUAAAAC
rnacentral:rRNA from 1 species